GGGCAGGGGGGCGGGGCGGCGGAGCUCGGCGGCUGGGCCUGGAGGACAGCGGCAGCAGAGGCGACGAGCGGUGGCGGGACCGGCGCCGAGAGGCCGUGCGGGACGCGGGCGCCAGGAAGGGAGGAGAACAGAGGUUGACUCUUCAUCACACUGAAACCAUUAGGAAAAAUCCUUGUGGUUAACAGCAGAGGCUUCAGAGUGUAACCUGUACUCGGGCCUAGAAAUUAUUUUAAAUGGCGACUGAUACGUCUCAAGGUGAACUCGUCCAUCCUAAGGCACUCCCACUUAUAGUAGGAGCUCAGCUGAUCCACGCGGACAAGUUAGGUGAGAAGGUAGAAGAUAGCACCAUGCCGAUUCGUCGAGCUGUGAAUUCUACCCGGGAAACUCCUCCCAAAAGCAAGCUUGCUGAAGGGGAAGAAGAAAAGCCAGAACCAGACAUAAGUUCGGAGGAAUCUGUCUCCACUGUAGAAGAACAAGAGAAUGAAACCCCACCUGCUACAUCUAGUGAGGCAGAGCAGCCAAAGGGAGAACCUGAGAAUGAA